UUGGAAUGGGGGAGGUCUUGGCUGCCGUCACCAUCUACGAGCGGUCUCGAUAGACGCCGAGUCAAUGAUUGGAAUUUUUCUGACCGGGCUGGGUCAUCGCGAUGCUCCUCAUUUGGUAGAAGGGAUCGCAUGUGAGCGAAGAACAUUAUCAGGUGUGCAAAGGGCGCACUACUGGCGAGUAGACGCAUUUCAUUCAGUUAUGCGUACUGAUCUCAUUCGGUCUUGCUUUCGACUAACAAGAUCCCCGCAAUUCGUUCCGCGUCCUUCCGAAUUCGAUUUAGCUUGUCAGUGAUGUCCUUUAGCGUCUCAUCGUUCAAACUCGCAAAGAUGGCUCUAUCAGCCUCGCGACGGUUGACGGCAAGUUUGUCCAUUUCUCUGCGGGUUUUUGCCGUUAGAAACAUCAAGACGACGCGACCAUCGGUAGCCGACACGGUUCGCCUGAGAAAUCCGGACUUCUCCAGACUCUUGGUUUGAUUGGUCACAAACGCUGGAUAGAUAUGGAGUUUCG
rnacentral:misc_RNA from 1 species